rnacentral:rRNA from 1 species
GAUCAUGGCUCACGAUGAACGCUAGCGACAGGCCUAACACAUGCAAGUCGAGGGGCAGCGAAGAGGUAGCAAUGCCUCUGUCGGCGACCGGCGCACGGGUGAGUAACACGUAUGCAAUCCACCUGUAACAGGGGGAUAACCCGGAGAAAUCCGGACUAAUACCCCAUAAUAUGGGCGCUCCGCAUGGAGAGUCCAUUAAAGAGAGCAAUUUUGGUUACAGACGAGCAUGCG